rnacentral:rRNA from 1 species
CGAACGCUGGCGGCAGGCCUAACACAUGCAAGUCGAACGCAUGCCUUCGGGCAUGAGUGGCGCACGGGUGAGUAACGCGUGGGAACCGACCCUGGGGUUGGGGAUAACCGCUGGAAACGGCGGCUAAUACCCGAUACGCCUUGAGGGGGAAAGAUUUAUCGCCCUGAGACGGGCCCGCGUUGGAUUAGGUAGUUGGUGGGGUAACGGCCUACCAAGCCUACGAUCCAUAGCUGGUUUGAGAGGAUGAUCAGCCACACUGGGACUGAGACACGGCCCAGACUCCUACGGAAGGCAGCAGUGGGGAAUAUUGGACAAUGGGGCCAACCCUGAUCCAGCCAUGCCGCGUGAGUGAAGAAGGCCUUAGGGUUGCAAAGCUCUUUCAGUGGUGAAGAUGAUGACGGUAGCCACAGAAGAAGCCCCGGCUAACUCCGUGCCAGCAGCCGCGGUAAUACGGAGGGGGCAAGCGUUGUUCGGAAUUACUGGGCGUAAAGGGCGCGUAGGCGGAUAUUCAAGUCAGAGGUGAAAGCCCCGGGCUCAACCUGGGGAAUUGCCUUUUGAAACUGGAUGUCUGGGAGU